ACUCCUGCGGGAGGCAGCAGUGGGGAAUAUUGGACAAUGGGCGCAAGCCUGAUCCAGCCAUGCCGCGUGAGUGAUGAAGGCCCUAGGGUUGUAAAGCUCUUUCACCGGUGAAGAUAAUGACGGUAACCGGAGAAGAAGCCCCGGCUAACUUCGUGCCAGCAGCCGCGGUAAUACGAAGGGGGCUAGCGUUGUUCGGAUUUACUGGGCGUAAAGCGCACGUAGGCGGACUAUUAAGUCAGGGGUGAAAUCCCGGGGCUCAACCCCGGAACUGCCUUUGAUACUGGUAGUCUUGAGUUCGAGAGAGGUGAGUGGAAUUCCGAGUGUAGAGGUGAAAUUCGUAGAUAUUCGGAGGAACACCAGUGGCGAAGGCGGCUCACUGGCUCGAUACUGACGCUGAGGUGCGAAAGCGUGGGGAGCAAACAGGAUUAGAUACCCGUGUAGUCCCA
rnacentral:rRNA from 1 species